rnacentral:misc_RNA from 1 species
GAUGAAGGAACGUAGCGAAAUGCGAUACGUAAUGUGAAUUGCAGAAUUCAGUGAAUCAUCGAGUCUUUGAACGCACAUUGCGCCCUCUGGUAUUCCGGGGGGCAUGCCUGUCCGAGCGUCAUUGCUGCCCUCAAGCACGGCUUGUGUGUUGGGCCUCCGUCCUCCUCCCGGGGGACGGGCCCGAAAGGCAGCGGCGGCACCGCGUCCGGUCCUCGAGCGUAUGGGGCUUCGUCACCCGCUCUUGUAGGCCCGGCCGGCGCUUGCCGACACAUCAAUCUUUUUUCCAGGUUGACCUCGGAUCAGGUAGGGAUACCCGCUGAACUUAAGCAUAUCAAUAAGCGGAGGA